ACCUGGGUGGCUCAGAUGGUAGAGCAUGAGACUCUUGAUCUCAGGGUUGUGAGUUCAAGUCCCAGGUU
rnacentral:tRNA from 1 species